rnacentral:tRNA from 1 species
GGAGAAUUGGGAGAGUGGUCGAAUCCGCUCCCCUGCUAAGGGAGUGUACCCUUAACCGGGUACCGAGGGUUCAAAUCCCUCAUUCUCCGCCA